UACAGAGGGUGCGAGCGUUAAUCGGAAUUACUGGGCGUAAAGCGCACGUAGGCGGCUUGGUAUGUCGGGUGUGAAAUCCUCGGGCUCAACCUGGGAACUGCAUCCGAAACUGCCUUGCUCGAGUAUGGGAGAGGGAAGUGGAAUUUCCGGUGUAGCGGUGAAAUGCGUAGAUAUCGGAAGGAACAUCAGUGGCGAAGGCGACUUCCUGGACCAAUACUGACGCUCAGGUGCGAAAGCGUGGGGAGCAAACAGG
rnacentral:rRNA from 1 species